AGUGAACGCUGGCGGCAGGCCUAACACAUGCAAGUCGAGCGGCAGCGCGGGGGCAACCCUGGCGGCGAGCGGCGGACGGGUGAGGAAUUCGUCGGAAUCUGCCUUUUUGUGGGGGAUAACGUAGGGAAACUUACGCUAAUACCGCAUACGUCCUACGGGAGAAAGUGGGGGACCGCAAGGCCUCACGCAGAAAGAUGAGCCGACGACCGAUUAGCUGGUUGGUGGGGUAAAGGCCCACCAAGGCGACGAUCGGUAGCUGGUCUGAGAGGAUGAUCAGCCACACUGGGACUGAGACACGGCCCAGACUCCUACGGGAGGCAGCAGUGGGGAAUAUUGGACAAAGGGCGCAAGCCUGAUCCAGCCAUGCCGCGUGUGUGAAGAAGGCCUUCGGGUUGUAAAGCACUUUUGUCCGGAAAGAAAUCCCUGGAGCUAAUACCUUCGGGGGAUGACGGUACCGGAAGAAUAAGCACCGGCUAACUUCGUG
rnacentral:rRNA from 1 species